rnacentral:rRNA from 1 species
UACAGAGGGGGCAAGCGUUAUUCGGAAUCAUUGGGCGUAAAGGGCGCGUAGGCGGCUUUGCAAGUGAGGGGUGAAAUCCCUCGGCUUAACCGAGGAACUGCCUGUCAAACUGCAUGGCUUGAGUCCGGGAGAGGUGAGUGGAAUUCCCAGUGUAGCGGUGAAAUGCGUAGAUAUUGGGAGGAACACCAGUGGCGAAGGCGGCUCACUGGACCGGUACUGACGCUGAUGCGCGAAAGCGUGGGGAGCAAACAGG